rnacentral:rRNA from 1 species
UAAAAUAAUGUCUGGGAAAUGCCUGAUGGAGGGGGACACCUACUGGAAACGGUAGCUAAUACCGCAUAACGUCGCAAGACCAAAGAGGGGGACCUUCGGGCCUCUUGCCAUCAGAUGUGCCCAGAUGGGAUUAGCUAGUAGGUGGGGUAAUGGCUCACCUAGGCGACGAUCCCUAGCUGGUCUGAGAGGAUGACCAGCCACACUGGAACUGAGACACGGUCCAGACUCCUACGGGAGGCAGCAGUGGGGAAUAUUGCACAAUGGGCGCAAGCCUGAUGCAGCCAUGCCGCGUGUGUGAAGAAGGCCUUCGGGUUGUAAAGCACUUUCAGCGAGGAGGAAGGUGGUGAGCUUAAUACGCUCAUCAAUUGACGUUACACGCAGAAGAAGCACCGGCUAACUCCGUGCCAGCAGCCGCGGUAAUACGGAGGGUGCAAGCGUUAAUCGGAAUUACUGGGCGUAAAGCGCACGCAGGCGGUUUGUUAAGUCAGAUGUGAAAUCCCCGGG